rnacentral:rRNA from 1 species
UACGUAGGGUGCAAGCGUUGUCCGGAAUUAUUGGGCGUAAAGAGCUCGUAGGCGGUCUGUCGCGUCUGCUGUGAAAACUCAGGGCUUAACCCUGAGCUUGCAGUGGGUACGGGCAGACUAGAGUGCGGUAGGGGAGACUGGAAUUCCUGGUGUAGCGGUGAAAUGCGCAGAUAUCAGGGAGGAACACCGGUGGCGAAGGCGGGUCUCUGGGCCGUAACUGACGCUGGAGGGAGCGAAAGCGUUGGGGAGCGAACAGG